CUAAAACGUAAUUAACAAGGUAAUUAACAAUAAACCAAGUUGCAAAGGAAAUAAGAGAACUCCCUUUGUUGAUCCUCUUUUGGUUAGUGCACUUCCUUGUUGUCUUUGCUUGUUGAUCUUCCAAGUGUUUGUAGUGUUUUCUCAAGAAUGUUUGUUUCGGCUUUGACCUUGUCUUCUCCUUAGAAUGAUGGCCUUUAAUCCUCCAAUUUCCAGCACCUAGCAAAGGGCUAAACCUUAACCAAAUCAAGUUCCCAUUCACAUAAGCACCAAAGAAGAAUUAAAUUCCAGCACCCAAAUUAGAGGUCAAAGAACAAAAACAAGAAACAAAUUUAAUUGAAUAAAACAGUACCACCAAAAGGAUUUAGAAUAUGACAACUAGAA
rnacentral:lncRNA from 1 species